rnacentral:lncRNA from 1 species
AAGCUAAAAGAUUAGAAACAAAAAAAUUUCCAGUCAAGUGCUGAAAGGGAUUCAAACCCAACAUAUUAUUAACAAUUUGAAUGUCUUUCGAAUCAAAAACUAUCGGUUCUCCCGAAUUAGGAAACAUACAAGUCGACAUAUCCAUCAACAAAUCAGACUUGAUCAUUAACCAUAAUGUAUUUUUAAGCACCAACGCAUCAAUAUCUUCCCAUGUUCAAUCAUUCUGUAUUGAAGCUCUAUUUUCCAUCCUCCAAAUGGAAAUCUAACAUAUUAACAAUAAAUUGGCCUCAGUUUCAAGAAAUCUAUCCCAAGGAUCUAUUCGAAACCAAGAAUGGAUUCCUCUUGUUUAAUAUCCCAAAUACUUUGGUGCAAAAAACAAUAACCGUUCCAAGGCACUCGGAGCAAAUUUUCUGGCAAAAAGAUAACAAAUAGAAGAUGACUUGUCAUUAUAUACACAAUUUU